UCAGGAUGUGGGAAUUCCUAUUUUGAUUGCUGCUAUUUACAGGAUGGGAGAAGAGCUUCAAGUCCUCGAAUGUUGUUGAUAAGUGUGAGAAAGAGACGUUUGAAUGGACAAAAUGAGCUUACUCUGCUUCACUUUUGUUCAAGUCCCUUUAAGAUGCGGGUUGCACAUCAUUGUUCAUCAGAUUUUGGAUUAAUGAUGGGAGAGCUUUUGGUGAUUGGCGUUGUUGUUGGACCAUUUGUUGUUGUAAAUUGUAAUACAUGUUUCUAACAUUUUUAUUGCAAAGUCAUGGCUUCUUAUCUUGGUUGCAAAAUUUGUAGGGUGGCUCUUAUAUAGAUAAAUUAUUGUUUCUGGUAUUGUAUAUGUUUUGA